rnacentral:sRNA from 1 species
GAUUUUUUAACCAUUUCGGACAGUUGAGAGUUUAGAAUAGUACUAUUUUGGUUAAAUAAAUAUUUAGAACAUCCUAGAGUUUAUUUUGUUUUAAGCUGUAAAACAUUUUUCUUUAAACUGUUUUAGAAAGAUGCUUCCCUACCCAACUCUUAAACAGGUGUUACUAAGCAGGUGACUAAAUAGUGAACUGAGGUGUGCUGUAAUAGAGCAGUUGUUGCUGAAUGCACGGAGGUUUGGUGCUUUCAGACUUCUUGGCCUUCUAAAAUAUAUAUAUAUAUGUACACAUAUAUGUAUGUGUAUAUAUGUAUAUAUAUAUGUACACAUAUAUGUAUGUGUAUAUAUGUAUAUAUAUAUGUACACAUAUAUGUAUGUGUAUAUAUGUAUAUAUAUAUAUACGUAUAUAUAUAUGUUCCUUCCACUCCUACUUUGUGGCUUUUGCUUAUUACUAGGUAAUAUUACUAAGAUUAUUUGCUACAUGCUAUUGUAAUAGUUGUAUAUAUUUAGAAUAAUGCUUGUUACUUAAGGUUAGUCAGGCUUUUUAAUAUGAAGGCCAAUCAAUAGGUUUUAAGGAGCUAUUGAAAUCCCUAAAAUUGCAUACAAAAUGCUUUUAGGCAGUGGAUCUACAAAUGUUAAGAACUGCUUAUUCUUUCAGUAAAUAUUCAUUUGAACACCUAUUUUGUACCAAGCAGUUUGUCAGUGCAGAGGAUCUCUAAGAUAAGAGAGGCCAAAAUUAUGUUCUUUCUAGUUCUUUCUGGUUAUUUAUACUCCUCUUUUUUUUUUUUUUUUUUUUGUUUCCAGGAAAAACAAGAAUGGUGGUGGCUUUACAUUGCAGAUAGGAAGGAGCAGACAUUAAUAUCCAUGCCAUAUCAUGUGUGUACGCUGAAAGAUACAGAGGAGGUAGAGCUGAAGUUUCCUGCACCAGGCAAGCCUGGAAAUUAUCAGUAUACUGUGUUUCUGAGAUCAGACUCCUAUAUGGGUUUGGAUCAGAUUAAACCAUUGAAGUUGGAAGUUCAUGAGGCUAAGCCUGUGCCAGAAAAUCACCCACAGUGGGAUACAGCAAUAGAGGGGGAUGAAGACCAGGAGGACAGUGAGGGCUUUGAAGAUAGCUUUGAAGAAGAAGAGGAGGAAGAGGAAGAUGAUGACUAAGCAGUACUCUGAAUGGACCACAGUGUUUGCACAUAUUUGCAAUUUUUUGCUGUUUUGGAAGUGUAUCAUAAACCAGAAACAGUACAGAACUGAUGUUGAGGGAGGUGUAGUUUUUUUACUCUAGAAAUGGGUGCAUAAUAUAACUAGGCAGUGGCGGUGCCUUGGUACAACCUGAAAAAUGUUAAGGCUUAUUGAAACCUUUCAAGUAGGGGAUGGUGCAUUUAUUUCAUCUGCAAAUGAUAAUAAAUCCUUUGUUAUUAUAACUGUCCAGAAGUGUGGGCUAUGUAUUAUCUGAUCAGUCUAUGGUCCCAGUAAAAGUAAAGAUGCAGGAAACACAGUCUCUAAAUGAGCGACUUUUCUUUGUUCAGCUUUAGUUUUAGCAGACACCACAAAUAUGUUUUAAGUAACAUCGCUGAAGUUUAUAAUCUCUUGAUAAGCUCUGUUGUUGACAUUUUGCAGUGAUACAAGACUGUAACAGCUCCACUCAUAGAUUUAAACUUUUAUUUUUACUUAUCUUGGUCAUAAGUUGGCAUUCUCUCACAUUCCACAUGAUAUAGAUAGAGGGCUACGUUUUGGAAUUUUCCUUUUCUUAAUUGCCCAGAAUUAUCAGACAGAUUAUAAAAAUGGCUUUUAAUGGCUUAAACCAUUUCUAAACCUCUAUCUUAGCAGAUCAAUGCAGGAUCUAAUUCUUUUGAUAAGCUGUAGCUCUAAAAGUGAUAGUGGGACUGUAUGUUUUCUGAUACUGGUGGCUUAUGUUAUUAAACCUUUUUUAAAAAAGGUUCACUCUAAAAGCUGAACUACAUCCUUAGUUUUCAGUCUACUUGACUCUAUCAGGAGCUUUUUAAGGAAAGUAAGUAUAACAUGCAAAGGAAACUUUUUUUUGUAUUCAUUUUGGACUCCUGUCAAUAAAAAUAGAAGUUUGUUGACUCGUU